AAAACGACUCUCGGCAACGGAUAUCUCGGCUCUCGCAUCGAUGAAGAACGCAGCAAAAUGCGAUACUUGGUGUGAAUUGCAGGAUCCCGUGAACCAUCGAGUUUUUGAACGCAAGUUGCGCCCAAAGCCUUCGGGUUGAGGGCACGUCUGCCUGGGUGUCACGC
rnacentral:rRNA from 1 species